AUUUUGAUAAAACUUUAACUUAAUCUCAUAUAAUUUUAUAUCACAAUUUCUUCUCACAUGAUAAAAUCGACUCUACAAUCCAAAAAUAACUCAAUACAUUUUACCAAAUAAGCAAAAAUCCAUAUAACACACUUUCUUCAAAGUAAAAGUCCCCCCAAGUCAUUUGAUAUUAUUUGUUUUUUCAAACUAUGAUAUAUUAGAAAGUAAUGGAUCUUUUUGUAAUUUAAUUUGUAAGAAAUUGGUGGUAUCAAAGUAAAUAUUAUCAGCCAAAAUUACACCUCAUUCUCUCUCUCAUUUGCACUCCGACGGCUGUCCGCACCGUUUCCACUCUACUCCGGUAGCAAAGAAGCUCUAAUAGAUGAAUCAUCAAUGGUAGUCCUUGCUUUGAUCUCGUGAUGAUAUUGCAUUUCUAUUUCAAACAUAGAGUUUCGUCUUCACAAUUGCAAAUAGUUUGUGCUCUUGUUUGAAAUAUUGCAUCGGAUGAUGGAAAGGAGGUAGUGUUGCUUGGGAUGCCCACCUUAUCCACCACAUGCUGUCUAGUAAGGGCUUAUCUUUGUGAAUUGCCAUGCUUGUUUGCACCUAUUGACUACUUUUAUUCCGAGU